CUGAAUUCACAUUUAGUGAUGGGGGAAUGGUGAUUGAUGAAUAUCGUGCUAGCUUAAAUGAGCAAUCUAUUGAAGCUCUUAUUUGUGGUGGGGAUUGACUUCGUAACAAGUAUGGGCUGAAGAAAAACAAAAAGGAGGUUCUGGACAAGAGGAGAUUAUGUUGAAGUCAUGACUUGUUUCAUUUUAUGUUUGAAUACUAUUAUGUUUACAUUGUUGUUAUUAUGUUUGUAUUGUGGACUUAUGAUUUGUGUAAUUGUGUUGUUGUUAAACUUGUAUUUCAGUC